CCUCACAGACCCCAAUACCCAGUUCUUCUCCACUUCAACCCAGACUGCUCAUCUGUCCCUUGGAGCUAGGUGUGGCCAUGGGACUUGCUUUGGCCAAUGAAACUCCGGCAAAAGUGCAGAGUGUCACUCUCAAGUGGAAGCACCUGACUUGCAGUGGCUCUCCAGUGGCUCUGGUUUCGGGGGCUGCAUGUUCCAGAAAACAUACAGGUUGGUGGAGAUUUCUUCUGCCCUGGAUCCCCAGUCUUCACAUGCAGGACCGCCUGUGAGAUUUGGGGUUGUUUGUUACUGCAGCAUAACACAAACUAUCCCUGCCCUUCUCCGCAGACAAGAGGAGGCUCUGGCCAAGCCAAGCGAGGCUCUUGACUAAUGUGUCCCAGGAGCCGAGGUAUGACAUUUCUUUCCUUGAAGGCUAGGCUUUUGCUUCUCGGUAUUCAGAAGCUGGGAUCCUUUUCUAUCCACACGAGGUUCCAGCAAGCCCAGCCAGGCGUUCUGCUCCUGCAGAUGGCAGGUAUUACGUUGGCUCAUUCAUCUCUCCUCUUCAUUCCAAACCCCUGAUGCCACCCCUGACUCCUGGGCUAGAGCUGUGACCGAGGUGAAGAUGGCAGUGCAUUCCAUGCCCCUGGCCACAGCAAGUGGAUCAGGAGCAGGCUCGUGACUUAAGCCAGGCCAGCAGAGUGAACCUCAGCAGUGAAUUCCCCUUGCUGGGAAUGCUGGGUCAUCUGGACAGUUUGGUGGUGGAUGUUAGGCCUGGAUCUGCAGCAGCCAUUUUGUUCUCAUGAGGGAAGUCAGCCUAUGGAAGAAGCUGACUCAUAGAGGCCAAGAGAAAUGUAACCCCAGCCUGGAAGACAUGGUGAACCUCAACGGACGAAGAUAGGCGCAUAUUCCAGCACUAAGAGAACAAAAGCAAUUCAUAUUGUCUUGGGUUGGCUGCUUUCAUCAUUCAGGCCUCAGUUUCCCCAUAUUCUGGGCAAUUCUGUUCCAUGGGAUACUUAGAAGGUCCUUGUGAUGUUCAAAUGAGAUCACGCAUGUGAAAACAGAGGAAACCCAACAUUCUGCUUAAGGGAUAUGGUGACAUGAUAACAUUUCAUUUAAUAUUGGUAAGUUGGGAGUUGUCACAAAUGCCA